rfam:Prunus persica cultivar Lovell chromosome G6, whole genome shotgun sequence.
GGCCGUUGAUGUAGAUCAAUAUUUGCUACUCUUGAUGGGAUCCUCAAUGAUCCCAUCUGAUGAUUCUUAUCCACCAAGAUCUCUGAGGCC